UACGUAGGGGGCAAGCGUUGUCCGGAAUCAUUGGGCGUAAAGAGCGUGUAGGCGGUCCGGUAAGUCGGCUGUGAAAGUCCAGGGCUCAACCCUGGGAUGCCGGUCGAUACUGCCGGACUAGAGUUCGGAAGAGGCGAGUGGAAUUCCCGGUGUAGCGGUGAAAUGCGCAGAUAUCGGGAGGAACACCUAUGGCGAAGGCAGCUCGCUGGGACGUUACUGACGCUGAGACGCGAAAGCCAGGGGAGCAAACAGG
rnacentral:rRNA from 1 species